UUCUCCUACGGGACGCAGCAGUGAGGAAUAUUGGUCAAUGGGCGGGAGCCUGAACCAGCCAAGUCGCGUGAGGGAUGACGGCCCUAUGGGUUGUAAACCUCUUUUGCCGGGGAGCAAAGUGCCGCACGUGUGCGGUUUGGAGAGUACCCGGAGAAAAAGCAUCGGCUAACUCCGUGCCAGCAGCCGCGGUAAUACGGAGGAUGCGAGCGUUAUCCGGAUUUAUUGGGUUUAAAGGGUGCGUAGGCGGGUUAUCAAGUCAGCGGUAAAAUCGUGGAGCUCAACCCCAUCCA
rnacentral:rRNA from 1 species